CCGGGGAUGUCAGUGGAUUGACUUCCUAGAGGUGGCGAUGUCGAAACAGUAGUUCAGGAUGGCGCCUCCAGGAUGGGGUCAGAAAGCGAAGUUUGGGGACAGACGACGAGGGCCGGGACCCGUGCUGGCGCUACCAGAGAACCAGGGAGGGCCCAAAUGAGGGAGCUACAGUAGGGACCGGGCUCAGGGUGCGGGCGCCAGCACCUGAGAAGAGUCGACAAGGGGGAACCCUGGGGAGCCCCAGAAGCGGGCGAGCCGGGCAGGGGUCAAGAACAGCUCACCCCGUUGUAUUAGAGACGGGACUCUAUAACACUUUCCUCUAGGGCAAGAGACUGAGAACCCUCGGACGUCUACAGCAGGAUUGGGGCUCCUGGGAAGGGCAGGUUAGAGCAUCCCUGAGGGGUUUAGAAUAGAAAGUUGGAAGACAGCAGGGAGAGCAAGCAGCAGGGAGAAGCCGGGUUCUUGAAACUACGGAGAAGAGGGGAGAAUGGGGCUGGGGAACAGCAUUUGAGUGCACCUGAGAUAGGUCACAGUGUGAGUCAGGGACGAGAGGAAAGGUAGAUCUUGGAACCCGGUAAAGCAAGGCUCCUCUAACCCCCAGUGAUGACAGGGGCACCGAUGCGGAGACGUUGGCUGGAGGCGGAGCGCACCCCAUGAGCCCCUAGCAGCAUGGACUCCGGACCAGCAACCGGACCUGUCCAGGGACCUAGACGCAGAGCGGGAGGUUCCUCCCAUGACUGACAGCUUAGAAGCCAGAGGUCAAAGGAGCCUAUCAAUCAAUGCACUCCACGCAAAUAUGUCCAGGGAGCAGGAUAGAACAAGGUGGAGGAACAAAGACUUGCCAAGAAAAUUAAUCUUCAGAGAGAAAACGUGGAAAAACAUACACAAAAAGGGAUUCUUACACUGUGAGAGAGAGGUUUCUUGAAGUCUUAAAGCUUCUUUGAGCCAAAUUGAAUAGAAUUUCUAUUUCUUGCAUUGGAGAAAGCUGGUAAUUUUUACAAAUCAAUUUUAAAAAGAUGAGCCCUCUGCCCACCCCAAAUGUACAUACUUAGCAAAAGGAGGACAAUAUA
rnacentral:lncRNA from 1 species